rnacentral:lncRNA from 1 species
AAUCAUUUUUGGACAAAGCAAACAUUAUUUGCAUCAAUAUCAUAGUUUCAAAGUAUGAUGGUUACUCUGCUUCUUGCAAUACUUGCCUUUCUGCCCACAAAGCUUCUUUGUUACUCCUCCAGCUUCUCCAUCUAGACUUGUAAUUCAUGUGUAUUCCUGCUCCUCUGCUUGCUUCUCCACCUCCACUUUCUUGGCCAUGUUCCAUUACGUGCUGCAGAUCAACAUUAUGGAUCAGCUCUUCCGUUUCCCUUUUGAGCCUAGACAAGAUCCCCAUUCAAUUUCCUUGUCACUGAGCCUCGACCUUCUCCUUCUCGUUCCUAAACUCGUCGGAUUCUGUCAUUAAGUCUUGUUGACGUUCCCGGAAAUCACCUAUACCUCUUUCAAUCAGUUGAACCUUGAGAAGAGCUUCCUGCUCCUUCUCGAUCACAUCAAUCCUCUAAUUCUCCUCUUGAAUCUGCACCUUUUUCUCACCAAACGAAGCACGGAGAUCUCUUUCUCAAAGUCAACCUUCU